UACGGAGGGGACUAGCGUUGUCCGGAAUUAUUGGGCGUAAAGCGCGCGCAGGUGGUUCCUUAAGUCUGAUGUGAAAGCCCACGGCUCAACCGUGGAGGGUCAUUGGAAACUGGGGAACUUGAGUGCAGAAGAGGAAAGUGGAAUUCCAAGUGUAGCGGCGAAAUGCGUAGAGAUUUGGAGGAACACCAGUGGCGAAGGCGACUUUCUGGUCUGUAACUGACACUGAGGCGCGAAAUCGUGGGGAGCAAACAGG
rnacentral:rRNA from 1 species